rnacentral:rRNA from 1 species
GACGAAGGGGGCUAGCGUUGUUCGGAAUUACUGGGCGUAAAGCGCGUGUAGGCGGUUUGCCAAGUCGGGUGUGAAAGCCUUGGGCUUAACCCAAGAAAUGCACUCGGUACUGGCAGACUAGAGGACCGGAGAGGAUAGUGGAAUUCCCAGUGUAGUGGUGAAAUACGUAGAGAUUGGGAAGAACACCAGUGGCGAAGGCGGCUAUCUGGACGGUUUCUGACGCUAAGACGCGAAAGCGUGGGGAUCAAACAGG